rnacentral:rRNA from 1 species
UGCAUAUCCAAAAAGCGGAGGAAAAGAAACCAACUGGGAUUACCUUAGUAACGGCGAGUGAAGCGGUAAAAGCUCAAAUUUGAAAUCUGGUACUUUCAGUGCCCGAGUUGUAAUUUGUAGAAUUUGUCUUUGAUUAGGUCCUUGUCUAUGUUCCUUGGAACAGGACGUCAUAGAGGGUGAGAAUCCCGUUUGGCGAGGAUACCUUUUCUCUGUAAGACUUUUUCGAAGAGUCGAGUUGUUUGGGAAUGCAGCUCAAAGUGGGUGGUAAAUUCCAUCUAAAGCUAAAUAUUGGCGAGAGACCGAUAGCGAACAAGUACAGUGAUGGAAAGAUGAAAAGAACUUUGAAAAGAGAGUGAAAAAGUACGUGAAAUUGUUGAAAGGGAAGGGCAUUUGAUCAGACAUGGUGUUUUUUGCAUGCACUCGCCUCUCGUGGGCUUGGGCCUCUCAAAAAUUUCACUGGGCCAACAUCAAUUCUGGCAGCAGGAUAAAUCAUUAAGAAUGUAGCUACUUCGGUAGUGUUAUAGCUUUUUGGAAUACUGUUAGCCGGGAUUGAGGACUGCGCUCGGCAAGGAUGUGCAAAAACGAGUU